AGGGCGCCGGGCGGCCGCAGGCGGCUUGACCGUCUGAGGAAAGUCCGAGCUCCAUAGGGCAGGGUGCCGGUUAACUGCCGGUGGAGGCGACUCCAAGGAAAGUGCAACAGAGAUAUACCGCGAAUCCCCCUUUGGGGGGACGCAAGGGUGGAAAGGCGAGGUAAGAGCUCACCAGCGGCUUGGCGACUUGUCCGCUCUGUAAACCCCACCUGGCGCAAGAUUGAUAGGGGAGCACAUGCGGCGGCCCGUCGCGCUCCCGGGUAAUCGCUUGAGCCCGCUGGCAACCGCGGGCCUAGAUAGAUGGCCGUCCAAGACAGAACUCGGCUUAUAGACG
rnacentral:RNase_P_RNA from 1 species